ensembl:piRNA 21ur-12955 ncRNA
UUCUACGUUUUGAAUAGAACU